rnacentral:piRNA from 1 species
UUCUAAUUGUCUUCAGCUUGGCGCA